rnacentral:lncRNA from 1 species
UGGAGACGCUCCUUCAGAUAUACUGGACCAAGGCCGUUUAGGGCUUUAAAGGUCAGCACCAACACUUUGAAUUGUGCUCGGAAACGUACUGGGAGCCAAUGUAGGUCUUUCAAGACCGGUGUUAUGUGGUCUCUGCGGCCGCUCCCAGUCACCAGUCUAGCUGCCGCGUUCUGGAUUAGUUGUAGUUUCCGGGUCACCUUCAAAGGUAGCCCCACGUAGAGCGCAUUGCAGUAAUCCAAGCGGGAGAUAACCAGAGCAUGCACCACUCUGGCGAGGCAGUCCGCAGGCAGAUAGGGUCUCAGCCUGCGUACCAGAUGGAGCUGGUAAACAGCUGCCCUGGACACAGAUUUGACCUGUGCCUCCAUGGACAGCUGUGAGUCCAAAAUGACUCCCAGGCUGCGCACCUGGUCCUUCAGGGGCACAGUUACCCCAUUCAGGACCAGGGAAUCCUCCACACCUGCCCGCCUCCUGUCCCCCAAAAACAGUACUUCUGUCUUGUCAGGAUUCAACCUCAAUCUGUUAGCCGCCAUCCAACCUCCAACCGCCUCCAGGCACUCACACAGGACCUUCACUGCCUUCACUGGUUCUGAUUUGAAAGAGAGGUAGAGCUGGGUAUCAUCUGCAUACUGAUGAACACCCAGCCCAAAUCCCCUGAUGAUCUCUCCCAGCGGCUUCAUGUAGAUGUUGAAAAGCAUGGGGGAGAGGACAGAACCCUGAGGCACCCCACAAGUGAGGGCCCAGGGGUCUGAACACUCAUCCCCCACCACCACUUUCUGAACACGGCCCAGGAGGAAGGAGCGGAACCACUGUAUAACAGUGCCCCCAGCUCCCAGCCCCUCAAGACGGUCCAGAAGGAUGUUAUGGUCGAUGGUAUCAAACGCCGCUGAGAGAUCCAGCAGAACUAGGAAACAGCUCUCACCUUUGUCCCUAGCCCGCCGGAGAUCAUCAACCAGUGCGACCAAGGCAGUUUCAGUCCCAUGAUGAGGCCUGAAUCCCGACUGGAAGGGAUCCAAAUGGUCCGCUUCUUCCAGGCGUGCCUGGAGUUGUUCAGCAACCACUCGCUCAAUCACCUUGCCCAAGAAUGGAAGAUUUGAGACUGGGCGAUAGUUGGCUAUCGUGGCCGCAUCUAAAGAUGGUUUGUGACGAAGCGGUUUAAUAACCGCCUCUUUCAGCGGGUCUGGGAAGGCUCCCUCACGGAGGGAAGCAUUCACCACCCCACGAAGCCCAUCGCCCAGUCCUUCCCGGCUAGCUUUUAUAAGCCAGGAUGGGCAAGGAUCAAGGAGGCAAGUGGUUGGUUUCACUCGUCCAAGCAGCCUGUCCACAUCCUCGGAGGUAACAGAUUGGAAUUGAUCCCACACAACUUGACUAGACAGGACUCUAGCACUCUCCCGCCCCGGCCCUGCUCCCACGGUGGAGUCUACCUCUUCUCGAAUCUGAGCGACUUUAUCUGCAAAAACUUUGCAAAGUCAUUGCAGGAGAUCAUGUGGCCGCUACUGGGCCCUGAUGGAGCAGGUGGUUCCGCUAAAUUGCGAACCACCUGAAAGAGUCUCCUGCUGCUGUUUUCCGCAGAUGCAAUAGAGGCGGUGAAGAAAGUCUUCUUCGCCGUCGCUAUCGCCACUUGGUAGGCUCGACAUUGAGCUCUAACCCGUGUCCGGUCAGAUUCAGAAUGGGUUAUCCGCCACCGGCGCUCUAGCCGUCUCAACGAUUGUUUCAUUGCCCUCAGAUCCGUGGAAAACCACGGGGCUGUCCGGACUCCAUGCAAUCGGAGAGGGCGCUUUGGAGCCAAACAGUCAAUAGCCCUGGUUAACUCCACAUUCCAGCGGGCCACCAGGGAAUCAGCUGAAAGGCCAUCAACAUGGGAUAAAACAUCCCCUACCACUCUCUGGAAACCAUUUGGAUCCAUUAAGUGGCGGGGGCGGACCAUCUGAAUCGGUCCCGCCUCCCUGCAGAGGGGAAGGGUCACGGAGAAGUCCAGUUGCACCAGGAAGUGAUCUGACCAUGGCACUUCUUUGGUUUCGCUUUUACUUAAUGUCAGAUCACCAACAUCCAUAGAGGUGAACACCAGGUCUAAGGCAUGCCCGUGGCUAUGAGUUGGGCCAGACUUAUUCAGGGACAGCCCCAUGGAGGCCAUGCUUUCCACGAAGUCCCGAGCGGCCCCUUGUAAGGUCGUGUCGGCAUGGAUGUUAAAGUCCCCUAGGACAACCAAACUAGGUGUCUCCAGGAGGACAUCCGCCACGACCUGAAGCAGCUCGGGCAGGGAAUCCUUGGUGCAGCGGGGAGGUCGGUACACCAAUAGGAAUCCUGUACUGCCCCUAUUGCCCAACUUCCAGAACAUGCACUCAGAGAACUGGGUCUUUCCAAUAGGACGCCUGGUGCAAACUAAUGACUUCCUAAAAAUCACUGCAACCCCCCCUCCCCGCCCACAAGGCCUGGGUUGCUGUGCGUAAGAGAAACCUGGUGGACAAGCAGCGGCAAGGACGGGCCCAUCUGCUUCAUCCAACCAGGUCUCUGUCACACAUGCCAGGUCAAAUCCUCCAUCCACAAUCAGGUCGUGGAUGGCAGAGGUUUUAUUCAUCAUUGACCUGGCAUUGCACAGCAACACUUUCAGGUCAUGUGGGUUUCCCUUGUUGAUUCCAGUAUCCUUCCGGUCAGGACCAGACCUGGAGGCAGGGAUAGUCCUCAAACAACGACUAAGCCUGCUUCCUCGGUAAUGACAUGGUCUGGUCUUAGCGUAACUCCUCCUCCUACCCGUGAUCACUGAGAUCGGUUGUCCGAGUGCAUCCCCCCCUGUGGAACCUGCCCCAGCCAUUUUGUUUGCUGGGACCCACUCCCAGGCAGCCCUGACCCCUCCCCUUAAAAUCAAAUUAAAACCUAUAC